CUGAGUACGGCGGAACACGUGAAAUUCCGUCGGAAUCCGGGAGGACCAUCUCCCAAGGCUAAAUACUCCCUAGUGACCGAUAGUGAACCAGUACCGUGAGGGAAAGGUGAAAAGCACCCCGGAAGGGGAGUGAAACAGUUCCUGAAACCGUGUGCCUACAAGUAGUUAGAGCCCGUUAAUGGGUGAUAGCGUGCCUUUUGUAGAAUGAACCGGCGAGUUACGAUUUGUUGCAAGGUUAAGCGGAAAAAGCGGAGCCGUAGCGAAAGCGAGUCUGAAUAGGGCGCAUAAGUAACAGGUCGUAGACCCGAAACCAGGUGAUCUACCCAUGUCCAGGAUGAAGGUAAGGUAAUACUUACUGGAGGUCCGAACCCACGCACGUUGAAAAGUGCGGGGAUGAGGUGUGGGUAGCGGAGAAAUUCCAAUCGAACUUGGAGAUAGCUGGUUCUCUCCGAAAUAGCUUUAGGGCUAGCCUCGAGGUAAAGAGUCAUGGAGGUAGAGCACUGUUUGGACUAGGGGCCCU
rnacentral:rRNA from 1 species